AUUGAACGCUGGCGGCAGGCUUAACACAUGCAAGUCGAGCGGGGUGAUGGUGCUUGCACUAUCACUUAGCGUCGGACGGGUGAGUAAUGCUUAGGAAUCUGCCUAUUAGUGGGGGACAACAUCUCGAAAGGGAUGCUAAUACCGCAUACGUCCUACGGGAGAAAGCAGGGGAUCACUUGUGACCUUGCGCUAAUAGAUGAGCCUAAGUCGGAUUAGCUAGUUGGUGGGGUAAAGGCCUACCAAGGCGACGAUCUGUAGCGGGUCUGAGAGGAUGAUCCGGCACACUGGGACUGAGACACGGCCCAGACUCCUACGGGAGGCAGCAGUGGGGAAUAUUGGACAAUAGGGGGAACCCUGAUCCAGCCAUGCCGCGUGUGUGAAGAAGGCCUUAUGGUUGUAAAGCACUUUAAGCGAGGAGGAGGCUCUUUUGGUUAAUACCCAAGAUGAGUGGACGUUACUCGCAGAAUAAGCACCGGCUAACUCUGUGCCAGCAGCCGCCGUAA
rnacentral:rRNA from 1 species